ensembl:lncRNA
UUAAAACACAUUAAUCAAAUUCAAGUCAACUGCCAAAGGACCAGACUACAAAUGUUACCACCGCAGAUUAUCACACAUUUUCCUGACCUGUUUGCCACUCUUUAAAGGUCCAGGACAAGACUUUCAGUUAAACAUCAGCUACCCUUUGCAGUAAAUUAAUCCAUCUUUCCUCUGAGCCUCAGCCUGGAACUUUCUUCCCACUCUUUGAUCCCUAACCAUCUUCACCGGGCUAACGCCUACUCAUCCUUCAAGUCGCAAGGUAGAUAUUGCUUCUUCCCAGCAGGGAAGGCCUUCCUGAUACCUUAGGACUGGGUUGGAUUCUGCACAGUCAAGGCUGCUCUCACAGACUUCAACAUGAAAGCGGCUCCCCCUGGAGUUGCCGUCGUGGUGCAGUGGUUGAUGAUUUGAUCCCUAACCAUCUUCACCGGGCUAACGCCUACUCAUCCUUCAAGUCGCAAGGUAGAUAUUGCUUCUUCCCAGCAGGGAAGGCCUUCCUGAUACCUUAGGACUGGGUUGGAUUCUGCACAGUCAAGGCUGCUCUCACAGACUUCAACAUGAAAGCGGCUCCCCCUGGAGUUGCCGUCGUGGUGCAGUGGUUGAUGAACCUGAGCCACGAUGGGAAGCCCACAAGAAAUUUUCAUAAUCUUCUGAAGGAGAUUCUCACCAUACUGACCCCCAGCCAUUUAGUCCCACUUUUUUUUUGGCUGCCCUGUGGCACAAGGAGUUCCCAGGCCAGGCAGGGAUCAGAUCCAAGCUGCAGUUGUGGCCUAUGUUGCAACUGUGGCAAUGCCAGAUCCUUAACCCGCUGUGCCAGGCAGGGCAUCAAACUCGUGUGUCCCAGCGCUCCCAAGACCCCGCCAAUCCCGUUGUGCCACAGCAGGAACUCCAAAGUGCCACUUUUAUAAAAAGUAUUAUCCUCUGUUCUCCUUGAUCAAACCUUAUAGGGCCAGACUCGAGUUUCAUUUUCAUUAAUGCUUUUAAAACAUCACAUAUUUGGGGAGAUGUUGAAAGUGUAUUUAGAAACUUAGCCAUAGGCACAUAAUACAUAAUUGUGCGCUUGGAUGACCGAUAAAUACAACAAUUCAAAAAAAGGAGAGAAAGAUUUAAGUUCAAACUGAUAAUUAUAUAUACUAGUACGAUAACAAUAAGAAGACUAUAGGGCAUCCUUUUGAAAAUUAUUAUGAAUUAUAUCAAGAUACCUACAAGUAUAGCUUUAGUUAUAUAUAAGGGAUAAAGAAUAAUAUAGUAAUAUAAUUGGGAAGGAAUAUACAGGGGGGUUCAAAGGUACUAGUAAUUUUCUGUUUCUUAAACUAGACAGCAGAGGUGUUCAUUCCAUUUCUUUAUAUGUAUGUACAUAAAUAUAUUUCACAUAUUUAAUAUAUAUUUCACAAGAAUGGUCUGCUAGUCAUCUACAUGGCUAUCACUCAUCUUUGCUUUUUUUUUUUUUUUUGGUCUUUUUAGGGCCACACCUGCGGCAUAGGGAGGUUUCCAGGCUAGGGGUCGAAUUGAAGCUACAGCUGCUGGCCUACACCACAGCCACAGCAAUGCCAGAUCCGAGCCACAUCUGUGACCUACACCACAGCUCACCGCAAUGCCGGAUCCUUAACCCACUGAGCCAGGCCAGGGAUUGAACCUGCAACCUCACCGUUGCUAAUCGGGUUCGUUAACUGUUGAGCCACGAUAGGAACUCCGCUAUUACUUAUCUUAAUCAAUGGUACAUCACCAAGAAAGCUAAGAACCCUUUGAAUCUUACCCCCCUAAUUCCUCCCACCCCAUUGCCUGAGAACCACUAGCCUCGAUUUGGUGUUUCGUGUGCCUGGAGAAUUUCA